rnacentral:lncRNA from 1 species
GCAUUUGCAUUCAGAUAUCGCAGAUCAAAUUUAUUCGUUCAUAGUGUAUUAAUGUACGUUUUUUGAUUGAGUUAAGCCUGCCAAUUGAUAUUUUAUCGUGUGUUUUUCUAUGUUGUGAUGUUAUUGCUAUUUAUAUGCUAUUUUUUCAGAAAAAGGGAGAAGGUUUGGAUCCAUUAAAACGUUUAAUCCCGCUGCAAAUGUU